rnacentral:rRNA from 1 species
UGGGGAAUAUUGCACAAUGGAGGGAACUCUGAUGCAGCAACGCCGCGUGCGGGAUGACGGCCUUCGGGUUGUAAACCGCUUUCAGCCAUGACGAAGCUUUUGUGACGGUAGUGGUAGAAGAAGCACCGGCUAACUACGUGCCAGCAGCCGCGGUGAUACGUAGGGUGCGAGCGUUGUCCGGAAUUAUUGGGCGUAAAGAGCUUGUAGGCGGAAAUGCAAGUCAGGUGUAAAAGGCAGUAGCUUAACUACUGUAAGCAUUUGAAACUGCAUAUCUUGAGAAGAGUAGAGGUAAGUGGAAUUUUUAGUGUAGCGGUGAAAUGCGUAGAUAUUAAAAAGAAUACCGGUGGCGAAGGCGACUUACUGGGCUCAUUCUGACGCUGAGGAACGAAAGCGUGGGUAGCAAACAGG